rnacentral:rRNA from 1 species
ACUCAGACGUGAAUACCCGCUGAACUUAAGCAUAUCAUUUAGCGGAGGA